GCUGGCCGGUGCUGACGGGACGGAGCUGAGGCUAGAGAUAAAUUCCUAUGUUAGACUUCCGCUGUAGCAAUUACUCAUAUCAGUCUUUUGUUUUCCCAACUUAAGAUCUUCAUGUUAAAUUUCAAAUGAUAUACCUGACCGAGCUUAGACUCUUCACUACUAAAUUUAUGCCAAUGAAUGUUGGUUGUCAGAAGCAUGAAACAAAACUUGUGAUCCAAAGGGGCCUAGCCCGACUCGUUAUCUUAUUAUUCGGGUUUUAACAAGGUUGUUCCUUGUUUAUUUCUAUGAAUUAGUUGCACCUCGAUUAUAUUUAUUCAUUCAAGAAUUGGGGUGUGACAGAAUGGUAUCAGAGCAUAAGUUUUCUUUCAUGUCUCUGAUAACCAUAAGCUUUUUGAUGUCGAGUCUAGAAUAGUAUCUCUAGAUUUCUAAGAAUGUCAGUAGCCCUCAGCUCGCCGUCACACUGCCGCAACUAAGGUACGAUAAUAAUUUCAAAAUAUAUAUGUAUAUUCAAAGUUAUGAAAAUUUUCAAGAAAAUGCGCGCCUUAUGUUUAUGAUGUUAUGUGAAUGCUUUUUGUCGUGUUUGGGACUACCCGAACCCAUAACAACUCAAUGAAUGUAUUUCGUGUUUGGGACAACCCGAGCCCUUAACGAAUCAAUGUAUGUAUGUAUGUAUGGUCGAGUUAGAUUCCUUGAAUCUUUCCGGCAUAAGCAAAGUUUUUCAUGAAAGGGACAUUUAAUGUCCAUAUGACUCAAAAUUUCAAAGAAAGCAAAUAUAUGUAUGUAUGUAUGUAUGUAUGUAUGAAUGAAUGAUGAGAAAGCUUUAUGUUAUCAUUUUAGGUUCACUGCCUAUAUGAUUAGAAUGAUGAGUUCUUUUACAAAUCGUUUGAGAACCACCCAAAAAUGCCUUACGAAUGUUAGUCGUGAUAGCACCGCUAGAACGACAUAGAAUGGACCUAUAUGAUACCAAAGAUUUAUGAUUGAAGUACUUAGAAGUAAGUGCUUUAAGUUAGAAGUUGACUUAGAGCUUUAUAAGAGAUAAGAAGUUGACAUGAUUGGGGGCGAAGCUCCCAUUUGACUGAGUAAUUCGUUGUGCUGGGUCUGGCCAGCCCACAUGACUAAGAUCUCGGUGAUUGUCAAUUUAGUCAUCCCAAUGUAUAAACUCGUACUAUAUAGUUGUCCCAAUAAGAUCUUCUUUGAUCACGAUAAGCAUAGUAUGAUUAGAAUGAGUUUGUUUGUCAACAGUUCUCGAGACAUGAGACGUAGCAUUCUCACGAUUAGAAAAUGUGAUAAGCAUCAAGCUAUGUAGCCGCACUGAUAGUGAAUGUCUAGUACUCCAAACUAGAUUUCCCAAGUAUGCAAUUUCGAGGACGAAAUUUUUAUAAGGAGGGAGGAAUGUAACACCCCGCCUAUUUAUAUUAAGUUUAGAAUUUAUUUUAAACUUAGAUUAGGAUGAUUCACGCCGGAUUGAGAAAAAGAAUUUAUUUUAAUUCCAACAAAAAUAAUUUACAAAAGCUUUGGUAAAUUUAGUUAUUAAAUUUAUAUGCAUUGCAUAUUUAUUUAAUUUAACAUUCAAGUAUUUUCACGAGCUUUUAAUUAGCAAAUCCUGAAGAAUUAUUACAGUUUCGACAAUUUUAUCCUGAAAGAUUUUUACAGAUACAAUUCUUUUAUGAGACAGUUUUAAUUGUCAAAUCAUCACUCACCUCACUUAGACUCCCAUCAAGAGCCAUGCUCCUACAUUUAGUUUUUUCAACUUUUAGCCACACUUGGCAAUUGGCAGCCACCAACUCCCCUCCAAACUGAACUACACGACAGCAAAUCUAUUCUUGCUGUUGGUCAAAUGGGCUAGCACAUAGGCUACUAUUCACAGCUCUUGCCAAUUUCCAUGCAUUUACGGCAAUAAUCUCAUUGUCAAAAGUUGAUGCAUUGUUUUCAACUAUUACUGCCAUUGUCUUCAACUAUUACGGCUAAGUUUGCCUAUAAAUUGAGCUUGCAGCAACAUUGCAUUAUUCACCACCUCUCCACAAUUCACUCACCCAUUCUCGCAAGAAGUAGAAGGUUCACUCUUUAUCUCUCAGCCAAAGUCCUCCUUCCAUCACACACUAAUAACUAUAGCUAGCAAGCAACUCAAUGCAAGAGCUCUCAAUCCACUGAGAUUCAGCAACACAGCAGAAAUCAAACCCCAACUGUCAGCCAUAUAUUCAAACUCAAGGUUCCACCUCAAACUUUCUUAUCUAAUUUCUCACUUUGAUUUCAAAAGCAAUAGACGACUCACUCAUUCAUAAACGUGUCCACAUAUAGAUAUGCAUUUUCAGAGAAAAGAAAAAAGAGACUUAAAGAUAUGAACUUACCUUAUUUAUACAUUGAGCAUGAAUUGUAUGAACUAAUUUACAUUGAGAAUUCAAGCAAUGAUAUAUAAAAUAAGCAUGUAUUGAACUUGAAUCUUGAGCUAUGUUUUGUGGGUUGUGCUGCUGUAAGUGUCGAGUUUGGUGAGAAGUGGUAGAGAGGGCGGUGGUGGCUGAAUUAGGCAGGGGAGAGGGCGGCGGCCGUGGCAUCGCUGCGGUUGCCGGAGGUAAGGGCAGCGCGGCUUAUAGCUGUCGUUCGCCGGAGUUCCAGAAGGGAGGCGGCGGCGAUACUUUCGCCGUUGUCAAGGUGAGAGGCGUCGCGGCGGCUUUGCCGUCGUCGUCCGCUGGAGUAGAAACUGAACUCGAGGGCCGUGGUCGUGGAUUGGGGCUUUGGCUGCCGUAUUUCAAGGCACCGCUCCUCGCCGGGGCCGUGAGCGGCGCAAGGUGCGACUGCUUGUGUGGGUUUGAGUGAGAGAGGGGUGAUGGCCGGCGGCCUUGGUGCCGUCGACCUGAGGAGGGAGAUCCGAGCGUCGUCAGCGGCUGUCGCUGUUGCUCCGGCAAGCUUCAGCGGCGGCGAAAUUCUGAGAGAGAGAGAGAGGUCGGCGGCUGCUUCGAUGGGAGUCGGAGUCGCGGUCGGCGGCAGCUUUGCUGCUGCAGUCGCCGAGCAUGAUGGAUCAGUCGAGAGGAGUAGUCGAGUGUUGAGAGAGAGAGAAGGAAGAGCAGUCGAGAGAAGGCGUGAUUGAUAGGGAUGGAGGGGUGUGCGGCUGAUAGGGGGGAGAAAAGAAGGGUUGGGUGUUGGGCUUGAGAAUAGGGCUUGAGGGUUGGGCUUGAGUUUUGGGCCGAAGUUGGGCUGUUGGGCCAGUUUUACUUAUUUAGGCUGGGCUUUCUUUUGGGCCUUAAAGAGAGUGGACCGAUUUUCCAUUUAAUUAAAACAGUUGGGCUGAUUUUGAAGGAGUUUUGGGCUGUGCAGUUCUUAAUAAAAUGGACUAUACUUAUGUAAUUAAUUGGACUUCAUGAUUGAGUUUGAUUAAUUAUUAUUUUAAAAAAUUAUUUGCAUAAUAAUAUUAUAUUAUUAUUAUGUGCAUAUUUUAAAGUAAUCACUUAUUAUAUGCUAAGCAUGACAUGAAAUUGCAUUUUUAUUUGCAAUAAAAGUAUUUAUGAUUUAAUUGGUUUUAUUAUAAUUCCAAUUAUUUAAGAAAAUCGAGUAAGGAUAUUGUUGGUGUCCUUAACUCAAGAAAUUUAGUUUUCAAGUAUUUAUUCAUUAAAUUUGAAAACCGGCGUGAUGAAUCAUAGAAUGUUUAGCACACUCACUAAGAGUAAGAUUAGCUUCACGAGACCUAUUAAGAGUAGAAUUUCUUGUAGGCUUUGUGAACCAAGGGGAUUAGCGCUGCUUCUCCGAGAUGAAUUUAUGUGAUUAUGAUCUUCAGGCUUUGCCUAACCAGGUGGGCUUACUUCCAAAUGUACAAAGUAUGAUUGAGUUAUUAAGCUCCAAAUGUUUCAAUGAAAUGCAAAAUGAAAAUUUAAUGAAAAGAAAGAAAGAAAAGUUGUAACAAAACCGGUGUAACGAAAAGCAGUACAGCAAGGGACCAAUGUAAGGCGCAACACGACCUAACGAAAAACCAAAAACAAAACCACAGUUCAGGGGGACGGGAAAUUCGCCGCCACAGAUUACGGCCAAACCAAAACCCAUCGGCGAGUCGUCCCCCUAAGCCGGAAGAAACACAAUUCAAGCACAAAAGAGCCAACAACAAAACCCGAGGGGGCAGCACUGGCCAUCCAGAGAAAUCUGCAGUGGCCGGACCAAGCCGAGCGGGCAGCACAAGAUGCCCACCGAACGCAUCAUGAAUCUUCCCUGCUCUGGUCACCUCCGGAACCACUGGAGACGCCGCAUCAGCGCAAACGGGAAAAAGCGCAGAUCUGCCAAAAAACCAACAACCGACGGAAGAGGAAACCGAAACAGCAAAAAAGAGCAAACAAACACAGAAAAGGAAAAAGAGGGGACAACACCACAAAACGAGCCCCAGCCCAUCGAGGGAAGACCCAACCAAACAAGACAAACUGGCCACCAAACAAACUUCAGUACAGGUUGAACUCCAGAGGGGCACAACCUCAAAACAAGCACCAACCAAACCCAGGAGCAAAAGAUCCAACCAUCACAGAUGAAGGGAAGAACAAAAGCAAGGGACAUCACAGCGAGAAGACCAAACAAGACGAUCAGACCCAGUUCUCCGCUAGCAGUGAAUCUCCUAAAGCAAUUACUUUUAUAAUCAAUUCUCAAACUUAUUAAGCUUAUGCUCAAAACGUGCUUUUGAAGUUUCAAUGAUAUGCAAAUUGUUUAUUCAAUAAAAUGCAAACUGUUUAUCCAAUAAAAUAUUUUGUGCACUCUGCUCCGUUUAAGGCUCGCAACAAUGAAUCGAUCGAGGUUCUCUCUUGACCUAACACGUUAUUUGAGAAUUGUGUACACCUAUUAGCUGACCUGGUGGGUUGAUCUCCAUCGGGCACUAAUCAUGUAUGAGGCGUUAUAAGGGUGCGUCGACGGGAUGUGUUCCGGAGCAUUGGGUCCCAAAUGGGAACUUGGCUGGGUUACGCCCUCAGUCCAAGUAAAGCAGGAGUAAUGGAUCCGUCGGUGGCUAAAAGGUCCGGGAUCACAGCGAGUAACGGAAAGGGAGUGUGACAUGUGCGCACAAAUGAAAGAAAAUGUUUUAACAUGCUUAGAAGUUAUUUCAAUUUAAAACCUUCUAAGUCAUGUCAAGUAUGAUUGGAUAAACUGCUCUUAUGAUUAUGAAAUGUUUAUGAAAAUCAUGCCCACUAAGUACAUUAGUACUUAGCCCAAAAAUCUUUCAAAUGUUUUCAGGUUGGCUGGCUGGUGCUGACAGGACGGAGCUGAGGCUAGAGAUAAAUUCCUAUGUUAGACUUCCGCUGUAGCAAUUACUCUUAUACAUCUUUGUUUUCUCAACUUAAGAUGACUUCAUUUGAGCUUCAAUUUAAAAUUUAUAGUUUUAUGUUAAUGAACGUCGGUUGUCAGAAGCAUGAAACAAAACUUGUGAUCCAAAGGGGCAUAGCCCGACUUUCUAUCCUAUUUCGGGUUUUUACAAGGUAUUUCCCUUGUUUAUUUCUAUGAAUUAUUCACACCUCGAUUAUAUUUAUUCCUUCAAGAAUUGGGGUGUGACA
rnacentral:lncRNA from 1 species